CGCAUGGGCGAAGCCUGACGGAGCACGCCGCGUGAGUGAUGAAGGUCUUCGGAUCGUAAAACUCUGUUAUCAGGGAAGAACAAAUGUGUAAGUAACUGUGCACAUCUUGACGGUACCUGAUCAGAAAGCCACGGCUAACUACGUGCCAGCAGCCGCGGUAAUACGUAGGUGGCAAGCGUUAUCCGGAAUUAUUGGGCGUAAAGCGCGCGUAGGCGGUUUUUUAAGUCUGAUGUGAAAGCCCACGGCUCAACCGUGGAGGGUCAUUGGAAACUGGAAAACUUGAGUGCAGAAGAGGAAAGUGGAAUUCCAUGUGUAGCGGUGAAAUGCGCAAAGAUAUGGAGGAACACCAGUGGCGAAGGCGACUUUCUGGUCUGUAACUGACGCUGAUGUGCGAAAGCGUGGGGAUCAAACAGGAUUAGAUACCCUGGUAGUCCACGCCGUAAACGAUGAGUGCUAAGUGUUAGGGGGUUUCCGCCCCUUAGUGCUGCAGCUAACGCAUUAAGCACUCCGCCUGGGGAGUACGACCGCAAGGUUGAAACUCAAAGAAAUUGACGGA
rnacentral:rRNA from 1 species